rnacentral:misc_RNA from 1 species
AAAGUCGUAACAAGGUUUCCGUAGGUGAACCUGCGGAAGGAUCAUUAUCAUAAUCCUACCAUUAUCAACCAACCGUGAACUGUUACUCUGUUUGUCGUUUUUUAGUUUAACGCUUGUUCUUUCGGGUUCAGGUGUUUUAGCUGGAAGCAAUUUCAGUUAAUUUAUAAACUAAGAAACAUUUUAUUUAACCCCUUUUUAAUAACAUUUGUUUGAUGCAUGUGUUUCCUACCUAGUCGUAAAAAAACUGGGAUGAAACCAAUCAUGUUUCUAAUGAAACUUUGAACAACUCUUAGCAACGGAUCUCUAGGCUCUC